rnacentral:rRNA from 1 species
UACGUAGGGCGCAAGCGUUGUCCGGAAUUAUUGGGCGUAAAGCGCGUGUAGGCGGCAGUGCAAGUCGGGUGUGAAAGCCCUCAGCUCAACUGAGGAAGUGCGCCCGAAACUGCAUUGCUUGAGUACCGGAGAGGAUGGCGGAAUUCCCGAAGUAGAGGUGAAAAUUCGUAGAUAUCGGGAGGAACACCGGUGGCGAAGGCGGGUCUCUGGGCCGAUACUGACGCUGAGGAGCGAAAGCGUGGGGAGCGAACAGG